rnacentral:rRNA from 1 species
UACGGAGGGUGCGAGCGUUAAUCGGAAUUACUGGGCGUAAAGGGUGCGUAGGUGGUUGCAUAAGUUAACUGUGAAAUCCCCGGGCUCAACCUGGGCAGGUCAGUUAAGACUGUAUGACUAGAGUAUAGGAGAGGGUAGUGGAAUUUCCGGUGUAGCGGUGAAAUGCGUAGAGAUCGGAAGGAACACCAGUGGCGAAGGCGGGUCUCUGGACAGUUCCUGACGCUGAGGCACGAAGGCCAGGGGAGCAAACGGG